CGUGCGCAGGCGGKUWUUUAARCCAGAUGUGAAAGCCCCGGGCUCAACCUGGGAAUUGCAUUUGGAACUGGGUAACUAGAGUCUUGUAGAGGGAGGURGAAUUUCAGGUGUAGCGGUGAAAUGCGUAGAUAUCUGAAGGAAUACCGGUGGCGAAGGCGGCCUCCUGGACAAAKACUGACGCUCAUGCACGAAAGCGUGGGGAGCAAACAGGAUUAGAUACCCUGGUAGUCCACGCCGUAAACGAUGUCUACUCGGAGUUUGGUGCCUUGAGCACUGGGCUCUCAAGCUAACGCAUUAAGUAGACCGCCUGGGGAGUACGGCCGCAAGGUUAAAACUCAAAGGAUUGACGGAA
rnacentral:rRNA from 1 species